rnacentral:rRNA from 1 species
UGGGGAAUUUUGGACAAUGGGCGAAAGCCUGAUCCAGCAAUGCCGCGUGUGUGAAGAAGGCCUUCGGGUUGUAAAGCACUUUUGUCCGGAAAGAAAUCCUUGGCUCUAAUACAGUCGGGGGAUGACGGUACCGGAAGAAUAAGCACCGGCUAACUACGUGCCAGCAGCCGCGGUAAUACGUAGGGUGCAAGCGUUAAUCGGAAUUACUGGGCGUAAAGCGUGCGCAGGCGGUUUGCUAAGACCGAUGUGAAGUCCCCGGGCUCAACCUGGGAACUGCAUUGGUGACUGGCAGGCUAGAGUAUGGCAGAGGGGGGUAGAAUUCCACGUGUAGCAGUGAAAUGCGUAGAGAUGUGGAGGAAUACCGAUGGCGAAGGCAGCCCCCUGGGCCAAUACUGACGCUCAUGCACGAAAGCGUGGGGAGCAAACAGGAUUAGAUACCCUGGUAGUCCACGCCCUAAACGAUGUCGACUAGUUGUUGGGGAUUCAUUUCCUUAGUAACGUAGCUAACGCGUGAAGUUGACCGCCUGGGGAGUACGGUCGCAAGAUUAAAACUUAAAUGAAUUGACGGGGUCAUAGCUGUUUCCU